GAUGAACGCUGGCGGCGUGCCUAACACAUGCAAGUCGAGCGAACCUUUCGGGGCGAGCGGCGGACGGGUGAGUAACGCGUGAGUAACCUGCCCUGUACACACGGAUAACAUACCGAAAGGUAUGCUAAUACGGGAUAACAUAUGAGAGUCGCAUGGCUUUCAUAUCAAAGCUCCGGCGGUACAGGAUGGACCCGCGUCUGAUUAGCUAGUUUGUAAGGUAACGGCUUACCAAGGCAACGAUCAGUAGCCGACCUGAGAGGGUGAUCGGCCACAUUGGAACUGAGACACGGUCCAAACUCCUACGGGAGGCAGCAGUGGGGAUUAUUGCACAAUGGGCGAAAGCCUGAUGCAGCAACGCCGCGUGAGCGAUGAAGGCCUUCGGGUCGUAAAGCUCUGUCCUCAAGGAAGAUAAUGACGGUACUUGAGGAGGAAGCCCCGGCUAACUACGUGCCAGCCGCCGCCGUAA
rnacentral:rRNA from 1 species